rnacentral:pre_miRNA from 1 species
AUUGUAUUCCCUCCGUCCGGAAAUAUUUAUCAUCAAAAUAAAUAAAAGGGGAUGUAUCUAGAUGUAUUUUAGUUCUAGAUACAUUCAUUUUUGUCUAUUUUGAUGAAUAGUAUUUUCAGACGGAGGGAGUAUUCA